CAGUAGCCGCGGUAAUACGUAGGGUGCGAGCGUUAAUCGGAAUUACUGGGCGUAAAGCGUGCGCAGGCGGUUGUGUAAGACAGGUGUGAAAUCCCCGGGCUUAACCUGGGAACUGCGCUUGUGACUGCACAGCUAGAGUAUGGCAGAGGGGGGUGGAAUUCCACGUGUAGCAGUGAAAUGCGUAGAGAUGUGGAGGAACACCGAUGGCGAAGGCAGCCCCCUGGGCCAAUACUGACGUUCAUGCACGAAAGCGUGGGGAGCAAACAGGAUUAGAUACCCCUGUAGUCCCUGUCUCUUAUAC
rnacentral:rRNA from 1 species